rnacentral:rRNA from 1 species
UUCCGGUUGAUCCUGCCGGACCCGACUGCUAUUUGGGUGAGGAUAAGCCAUGCGAGUUGAAUGGGAUACCUAAAUUUCCCAUGGCAAACUGCUCAGUAACACAUGAUCAACUUACCCUAUAGAGAAAAAUAACCUCGGGAAACUGAGGAUAAUAUUUCAUAGUUGAAUAGGCUUGGAAAAGUUUUUCAAUAAAAGGGAUAAAAAAAAUGGUUUUUAUCUGCUAUAGGAUAGGAUCGUGGACGAUUAUGGUUGUUGGUGAGGUAACGGCUCACCAAGCCGAUAAUCGAUAGGGGCCGUGAGAGCGGGAGCCCCGAGAUGGGUACUGAGACAACGACCCAGGCCUUACGAGGCGCAGCAGGCGCGGAACCUCCGCAAUACACGAAAGUGUGACGGGGUUACCCAAAGUGUUCAAUUCUGAACUGUGGUAGGUGAGUAAUGUUCCCUACUAGAAAGGAGAGGGCAAGGCUGGUGCCAGCCGCCGCGGUAAAACCAGCUCUUCAAGUGGUCGGGAUAAUUAUUGGGCUUAAAGUGUCCGUAGCCGGUUUAGUAAGUUCCUGGUAAAAUCGGGUAGCUUAACUAUCUGUAUGCUAGGAAUACUGCUAUACUAGAGGGCGGGAGAGGUCUGAGGUACUACAGGGGUAGGGGUGAAAUCUUAUAAUCCUUGUAGGACCACCAGUGGCGAAGGCGUCAGACUGGAACGCGCCUGACGGUGAGGGACGAAAGCCAGGGGAGCGAACCGGAUUAGAUACCCGGGUAGUCCUGGCCGUAAACGAUGCAUACUAGGUGAUGGUACGGCCAUGAGCCGUAUCAGUGCCGUAGGGAAACCGGUUAGUGUGCCGCCUGGGAAGUACGGUCGCAAGCCUAAAACUUAAAGGAAUUGGCGGGGGAGCACCACAAGGGGUGAAGCCUGCCGUCAAUUGAAGUCAACGCCGGA